rnacentral:lncRNA from 1 species
CUAGUUUUCACACAUACACACCCACAAAAAGGCAUAAUACCUGUAAGAAGGAAAGUAGUCCUGUAGAAUUGAAGUGUUUGAAAAAAAUCUAUGAGCUCAAUGUUUUGGAGGAAAUCCCUUCUAUAGCAGUGGAAAGAAGGCAGCUCAUUUUGGAUUAAGUGUGGAUAGAACUGGAAAUAGGAGAUAUGGGAGGGACAAGAGAAGGCCAAUAAUCUAUGAGUUUAUGUCCUCAGCUUUGAAUGGUAGGACUGUAUCUGCUAUUCAGCUUUUGAAAUACAGCUGUGCCCACUGAACCUUCACGCUGGGAUUCAGCUGCCAUGCUUCACCUUGGGUAUAAUGAUGACAGAGGCUGAGAAAGGUGACUCCCUCCAUUGAUGUAUUUCCCCAUGAUUACCUUCCAUCAAAUGAUACUAAUACUCCUGAAAAUACUUAACAUUUACAAAAUGUUUAUUUUCUGAUUCAUGCCAAA